AUUGAACGCUGGCGGCAUGCCUUACACAUGCAAGUCGAACGGUAACAGGUCUUCGGAUGCUGACGAGUGGCGAACGGGUGAGUAAUACAUCGGAACGUGCCUAGUAGUGGGGGAUAACUACUCGAAAGAGUGGCUAAUACCGCAUGAGAUCUACGGAUGAAAGCAGGGGAUCGCAAGACCUUGUGCUACUAGAGCGGCCGAUGGCAGAUUAGGUAGUUGGUGGGAUAAAAGCUUACCAAGCCGAAGAUCUGUAGCUGGUCUGAGAGGACGAUCAGCCACACGGGGACUGAGACACGGCCCAGACGCCUAAGGGGGGCAGCAGUGGGGGAUUUUGGACAAUGGGCGCAAGCCUGAUCCAGCAAUGCCGCGUGCAGGAUGAAGGCCUUCGGGUUGUAAACUGCUUUUGUACGGAACGAAAAGCCCUGGGUUAAUACCCUGGGGUCAUGACGGUACCGUAAGAAUAAGCACCGGCUAACUACGUGCCAGCAGCCGCCGUAAGAC
rnacentral:rRNA from 1 species